rnacentral:rRNA from 1 species
GGGGGCCGCCUUCGCCACCGGUAUUCCUCCAGAUCUCUACGCAUUUCACCGCUACACCUGGAAUUCUACCCCCCUCUACGAGACUCAAGCUUGCCAGUAUCAGAUGCAGUUCCCAGGUUGAGCCCGGGGAUUUCACAUCUGACUUAACAAACCGCCUGCGUGCGCUUUACGCCCAGUAAUUCCGAUUAACGCUUGCACCCUCCGUAUUACCGCGGCUGCUGGCACGGAGUUAGCCGGUGCUUCUUCUGCGGGUAACGUCAAUGAGCAAAGGUAUUAACUUUACUCCCUUCCUCCCCGCUGAAAGUACUUUACAACCCGAAGGCCUUCUUCAUACACGCGGCAUGGCUGCAUCAGGCUUGCGCCCAUUGUGCAAUAUUCCCCACUGCUGCCUCCCGUAGGAGUCUGGACCGUGUCUCAGUUCCAGUGUGGCUGGUCAUCCUCUCAGACCAGCUAGGGAUCGUCGCCUAGGUGAGCCGUUACCCCACCUACUAGCUAAUCCCAUCUGGGCACAUCCGAUGGCAAGAGGCCCGAAGGUCCCCCUCUUUGGUCUUGCGACGUUAUGCGGUAUUAGCUACCGUUUCCAGUAGUUAUCCCCCUCCAUCAGGCAGUUUCCCAGACAUUACUCACCCGUCCGCCACUCGUCAGCGAANCAGCAAGCUGGUUCCUGUUACCGUUCGACUGCAUGUGUUANGCCUGCCGC